rnacentral:rRNA from 1 species
GGACCCGACUGCUAUCGGAUUGGGACUAAGCCAUGCGAGUCAACUCCGCAAGGGGUGGCGCACGGCUCAGUAACACGUAGUCAACCUACCCUAGGGACGGGGAUAACCUCGGGAAACUGAGGCUAAACCCUGAUAGGCUAUAGCCUCUGGAAUGAGCUAUAGCUGAAAUCUAUAUGGCCCUAGGAUGGGACUGCGGCCGAUCAGGUAGUUGGUGGGGUAAUGGCCCACCAAGCCUAUAACCGGUGCGGGCUCUGAGAGGAGGAGCCCGGAGAUGGGCACUGAGACAAGGGCCCAGGUCCUAUGGGGCGCAGCAGGCGCGAAACCUCCGCAAUGGGCGAAAGCCCGACGGGGUUAGUCCGAGUGGCCCCUGCUGAAGGGGCCUUUUGCCAGCUGUAAAAAGGCUGGCGAAUAAGGGGUGGGCAAGUUUGGUGUCAGCCGCCGCGGUAAUACCAGCACCCCGAGUGGUCGGGACGAUUAUUGGGCCUAAAGCAUCCGUAGCCGGCUUAGUAAGUCCUCCGUUAAAUCCAACGGCUUAACCGUUGGGCUGCGGAGGAUACUGCUAAGCUAGGGGGCGGGAGAGGCGAGGGGUAUUCCCAGGGUAGGGGUAAAAUCCGUUGAUCCUGGGAGGACCACCAGUGGCGAAGGCGCCUCGCUAGAACGCGCCCGACGGUGAGGGAUGAAAGCUGGGGGAGCGAACCGGAUUAGAUACCCGGGUAGUCCCAGCCGUAAACGAUGUAGCUCGAUGUUGGGUUACCCAAGUGGUAGCCCAGUGUCGNAGGAAGCCGUUAAGCCUACCGCUGGGGAGUACAGCCGCAAGGCCUGAAACUUAAAGGAUUGGNCGGGGUR